GCCGCCAACCAACACAGCCCAGCCACAAUAAUGCUUGUGUCGCCAUCAAUAAUUGUGUUAUGUGCGACGGGGUCUGUAGGUCAAUUACAAAAUAUGACGGUGCAAAUGUAACAAUGCUAGACAGGGGAAUUGCCAAAGACCUGAAACUCAACGGGAACAAGACACAAUUAUCCCUACAGUGGUUAAAUAAGCAUUCAAUGACGGAAGAUUCUGAAGUAGUGGAUCUAAUAAUAAGUGAUCCACUGCUAAAUGUGCCCGCUGCCUUUUUGGCGCUGGAUCAAUUUUAACCACAACAAGAUUGGGCGUUGUUGUUUAUGUCCCAACAUCCGGAAAAAAGUAAAAUGGGGCACACAUUUUUAUAUGAGAAGCGCGGUCUUUGGUUGCAACUUUCUUCGGGUCAUAAACAACAAUUCCAGCAGAUAGAACCGAAAAUUGAUUGCAACGAAUGAACUGGAUGAUGCAGUGUGGAAAAUAAAAUGGACCGGUAUAGGGAUUAUGGCAGGGCAUAUUGUGAGAAAAUAAAUGACUACAUAUCAAAGUGCUCUUGCAGAAAAGUUGAUGUGAACGAAUUACCUUUAAGUCCACAACGCGUUUUUUAUCCGCCCCAUUUGUUAAUAAUGCGAACCUAGAAGGAAUUAGGAUUGUUUGUUUGAUGCUGCAGCCGAAGUGAUGAAUGUGUUGUUGAAUAUGUGCCUUUCAAGUGGACCAGACAUAAACAAUUCCUUAAUUUCAACUAUUUUUAAAUUUCGUGGAGUUCCAAUAGCCGUCUGUGGGGAUAUAAAAGGAAUGCUCCAUCAAGUCUAAAUCGUCAAAGAAGAUCAAGAUUGCCAACGAUUUCUUUUGAGAAGGAGAUAAAAAUAAAAGAGUGGACACUUAUACUUUACAAUGUAAGAUAUUUGGCAACUUGUUCGCCAACUAUAGCCCAAUAUGUGAAAAAUAUGAAUGCCAAUAUGUUUGUGAUAGAGUCACCGCAUGCUAGUG